rnacentral:lncRNA from 1 species
CCGGUGUCGACUUACUAGCUGCAAGCCUCUGCCUGCCUUCCUGCGCGCCGUUCCCCGCUAGUCGCUGCUGCUGGCGCGCACUCGCCGGGUUUUUCCUCCCACGGCCUCGAGAUGGUGGUGAAUGUGGCACGGAGGAGCCGGGCCUUCCAACCCGGUGGGCCCGAGCUCCGAAAGGCCCCCUCGGCAGUGAGAGGGGCGGGAGCCCGCGGGGGCCGCGCCCUUCUCUCGCUUCGGACUGCGCAACGCUGCGCUCUGGGCUGACAGAUGAAGACUCUUAAGAUGACAGAAGGUGAUUUUUCUGGUGAUCGAGGACUUCCGGGGUAAUGACAGUGAUGAAAUGCAGGGGACCUGGUUGCCCCCAAGUUUCCUGGCAGUGUGUGAUACUGAGGAGGUGAGCUUGUUUCUGGAGCUGUGCUUUAAGAUUCAUGUUACAUGUAAAGCUGUCCUCAUUUGUGACUAUGGACCUAUGGAGUUGGGGUCUUUCUGUCACCCAGGCUGGAGUGCAGUGGCACAAUCUUGGCUAAUUGCCUCCCAGGUUCAAGUGAUUCUCCUGCCUCAGCCUCCUGAGUAGCUGGGACUAUAAGCACGCACCACUAUGUCUGGCUAAUUUUUGUAUUUUUAGUAGAGACAGGGUUUCACCACGUUGCCCAGGGCAGUCUUGAACUCCUGACCCCAAGUGAUCUGCCUGCCUUGGCCUACCAAAGUGCUAGGAUUACAGGCAUGAACCACUGUGCCGGGCCAGAAAGUCUUAGCAUCUUAGUAACAUUUACAUUUGGCCUCCCUCGUGUGCCCUUAGCUAUUCAUUACCAGAGGGCAAAGAUGGUUAGAACAUGAUUUACCCACCCUAAAAUGCAUUGAAGGCAUCAGAGGGCACCGUGGGCCACAAGGCCUGGUAGCCACAAAUGUUCAGUGGUGGCUGGAGCUCAUGAUGCAUUCUUUGGUGGGACGUCUCUCAGCAUUAGGGAGAGUUGAGAGUGGGGUAGAAACAAGGGGUUCCAUGUAGCACACACUGUAUUUAGAAUGACUGGUCCAGGAUGAAACCUAAUUUGAGUGGACAUCCAUGGAUGAGAAAUGCGGAUAUGGGACUGAGACCAGCUCCUAGGAAAAUGUCUGGGUGGGGGAAAUCUGGGAAUUAGUAACACAAUGGCUUACACUUCCUUUGCAGGACAAUCUCUAUGGGAAGCAGAAGGCAAGGACCCCGGUCAUUUUAGGUAGAAACAACAGCAUGCUAAUGCAAAAAAUUAUGCAGUGUGCUACUGAACUUCAGAGGUGAUCAAUAAAAGAAGAAUAAAAAGACUAA